GACGAACGCUGGCGGCGUGCUUAACACAUGCAAGUCGAACGGAAAGGCCCUGCUUUUGUGGGGUGCUCGAGUGGCGAACGGGUGAGUAACACGUGAGUAACCUGCCCUUGACUUUGGGAUAACUUCAGGAAACUGGGGCUAAUAUCGGAUAGGAGCUCCUGCUGCAUGGUGGGGGUUGGAAAGUUUCGGCGGUUGGGGAUGGACUCGCGGCUUAUCAGCUUGUUGGUGGGGUAGUGGCUUACCAAGGCUUUGACGGGUAGCCGGCCUGAGAGGGUGACCGGCCACAUUGGGACUGAGAUACGGCCCAGACUCCUACGGGAGGCAGCAGUGGGGAAUAUUGCACAAUGGGCGGAAGCCUGAUGCAGCAACGCCGCGUGCGGGAUGACGGCCUUCGGGGUGUAAACCGCUUUCGCCUGUGACGAAGCGUGAGUGACGGUAAUGGGUAAAGAAGCACCGGCUAACUACGUG
rnacentral:rRNA from 1 species